GACGAACGCUGGCGGCGUGCUUAACACAUGCAAGUCGAACGGAAAGGCCCUGCUUUUGUGUGGUUCUCGAGUGGCGAACGGGUGAGUAACACGUGAGUAACCUGCCCUUGACUUUGUGAUAACUUCAGGAAACUGGGGCUAAUACCGGAUAUGAGCUCCUGCUGCAUGGUGGGGGUUGGAAAGUUUCGGCGGUUGGGGAUGGACUCGCGGCUUAUCAGCUUGUUGGUGGGGUAGUGGCUUACCAAGGCUUUGACGGGUAGCCGGCCUGAGAGGGUUACCGGCCACAUUGGGACUGAGAUACGGCCCAGACUCCUACGGGAGGCAGCAGUGGGGAAUAUUGCACAAUGGGCGGAAGCCUGAUGCAGCAACGCCGCGUGCGGGAUGACGGCCUUCGGGUUGUAAACCGCUUUCGACUGUGACGAAGCGUGAGUGACGGUAAUGGGUAAAGAAGCACCGGCUAACUACGUG
rnacentral:rRNA from 1 species